GUGAAUUCUAUUUAAUUAAAGAUGAUCACGUUGAAUAUUUUGACGGAAAUAAUACUGAUACAGUUAAAAAUAAGCCACUUAACACAUCUGUACUCAGUCAUGGGGAUAUUCUAGUAAAAUAUAAGAAGGUUAUACAUAUUAAUAAUUCAAGACAAGUAGUAAAAAAUGAUAUGGUGAAAAACAUCUUUAAUGAAUACAAUAUUAGUCAAAAUUACUAUAUAAUAAAUGAAACUACCCAAUUUGUAUUUAAAGUGGUUGCUAAAGAAUGCAUUUGGUUUGCUUUUUACAUGUGUGACAAAUGUGAUAUAAAUGUGGUGCAUGAAAAUUUAUUAUUUGACUAUUUUCAAGUAGGUUAUAUAUUAUUUAGAUAAUAAUUAACUAAUAUUUAACUUUUAGAUGAAAUGUCA